rnacentral:rRNA from 1 species
UUUAACUGAAGAGUUUGAUCAUGGCUCAGAUUGAACGCUGGCGGCAGGCUUAACACAUGCAAGUCGAGCGGGGGAAGGUAGCUUGCUACUGGACCUAGCGGCGGACGGGUGAGUAAUGCUUAGGAAUCUGCCUAUUAGUGGGGGACAACAUCUCGAAAGGGAUGCUAAUACCGCAUACGUCCUACGGGAGAAAGCAGGGGAUCUUCGGACCUUGCGCUAAUAGAUGAGCCUAAGUCGGAUUAGCUAGUUGGUGGGGUAAAGGCCUACCAAGGCGACGAUCUGUAGCGGGUCUGAGAGGAUGAUCCGCCACACUGGGACUGAGACACGGCCCAGACUCCUACGGGAGGCAGCAGUGGGGAAUAUUGGACAAUGGGGGGAACCCUGAUCCAGCCAUGCCGCGUGUGUGAAGAAGGCCUUAUGGUUGUAAAGCACUUUAAGCGAGGAGGAGGCUACUUUAGUUAAUACCUAGAGAUAGUGGACGUUACUCGCAGAAUAAGCACCGGCUAACUCUGUGCCAGCAGCCGCGGUAAUACAGAGGGUGCGAGCGUUAAUCGGAUUUACUGGGCGUAAAGCGUGCGUAGGCGGCUUAUUAAGUCGGAUGUGAAAUCCCCGAGCUUAACUUGGGAAUUGCAUUCGAUACUGGUGAGCUAGAGUAUGGGAGAGGAUGGUAGAAUUCCAGGUGUAGCGGUGAAAUGCGUAGAGAUCUGGAGGAAUACCGAUGGCGAAGGCAGCCAUCUGGCCUAAUACUGACGCUGAGGUACGAAAGCAUGGGGAGCAAACAGGAUUAGAUACCCUGGUAGUCCAUGCCGUAAACGAUGUCUACUAGCCGUUGGGGCCUUUGAGGCUUUAGUGGCGCAGCUAACGCGAUAAGUAGACCGCCUGGGGAGUACGGUCGCAAGACUAAAACUCAAAUGAAUUGACGGGGGCCCGCACAAGCGGUGGAGCAUGUGGUUUAAUUCGAUGCAACGCGAAGAACCU